GUCGCGCAAUGUAGCUUUGCUUGUCUAACAGGAGUUGAGAUUUCUCCUCUCACGUUCUAUAUUCCUGUUACUUUUCUGCAGUUUCAGCCGGAUCCGAUAGAUGGCAGUACUUCGACUACCACAGACGAGGAGCGCGAUAUUGCGCGACGAGAUCAGACGUAUGCGUUCGUGUUAGAGGAGGAAGGCGAUAGUGUGCGACAGAGACAGCAGCAGCGAUUAGUCGCCACCUUUUCACCGCUAGGCGACGAUAGCAUUUCGAGGUCGACGAAUCGACUAAUCUUUUAUUUAUAACGAACGAAUCGAGGGGAUUAAUUUGCGAGCUGUUGCAUCUUCUUAAUCAGGGUCUCAGCUUGCUUUAUUCCGUUUAAUCUUUUAAAUGAACGAGCAAAAAUACGUUCGUUGGUUACUCGACGUUUUCGUUCGGACGAGCGAUGCGUGUGUGCUGCGUGCGCUAUUAAAAUACGUAAGCAUCGCGGAACAGGCGAUCCUAGUUGUUCGAGCGGAAAGAAGACGCAGCAACUUCGAUACAACAGUCCGUUAUAUUAAAAAAAACCGAGAAGACGAAUAAUCAUCGUGGCGAUUAAGAAUGCGCGUGUAUUGAACUGACCACCCGCGCGCGACUGGAUCGAAGAGGAAUCGACCACGAGCGGAAAGAAAGACGAAAAGGAAGGGACGUUGAAGAAGAAGAAGAAGAAGACGAAGAAGAAGAAGAACCGUAGGAGGAAGUUUUUGCUCGGUACACAUGUGGCUAGCGGCGAUUCGGCUGUGAUAAAAGCUCGGCCCGUUGCUCGUGCCUCGCGGCCUCGCGAGACCAACGACGCCGGCCAACGUACAUACUGGAACAGCGGCCGGACGAGAAAAGGCCUUCUUCGGCAAGUUGAGCGAAUCGCGUGUGCGAUGGUGCGCACAUCCGCGCCACGAAAGAACGAGAUAGAGCCGAGGAUCGAGAUGUGUCGCGCGUUACGCACGUGCGCUACCCUUCGAUCCUUCUUCCUCUCGUUGCCUCCACUCAACGCCCUUUACGAUCCCUGUUCGCUGGUCAUCGAAUUAGGACCGUUGAAAUAUGUACAAUUUUCUGUGUUGGACUGGGUUAAAUGCGUAGUAGAGAUACUUGUAUGUGGAUAUCAGUGUGUGGAAGUAUGUGUGUCCACGGCGUCUCGAAAACAAAGGAAUGUAAACUGUUCAGUCGGUUAACAGUCGGAUGAGAAAGAAAGUGCCGAGACGCGUGCAAAUGUGUAUCGAUGAAUAUAUAAGGAAUCGUCCAUGAAAUAAAUAUAUCGUUAUUUCAAUAAUAA